AGCGAACGCUGGCGGCAGGCCUAACACAUGCAAGUCGAACGAACCUUUCGGGGUUAGUGGCGGACGGGUGAGUAACACGUAGGAACGUGCCUUUAGGUUCGGAAUAACUCAGGGAAACUUGUGCUAAUACCGAAUGUGCCCUUCGGGGGAAAGAUUAAUCGCCUUUAGAGCGGCCCGCGUCUGAUUAGCUAGUUGGUUGAGGUAAUGGCUCACCAAGGCGACGAUCAGUAGCUGGUCUGAGAGGAUGAUCAGCCACAUUGGGACUGAGACACGGCCCAAACUCCUACGGGAGGCAGCAGUGGGGAAUCUUGCGCAAUGGGCGAAAGCCUGACGCAGCCAUGCCGCGUGAAUGAUGAAGGUCUUAGGAUUGUAAAAUUCUUUCACCGGGGACGAUAAUGACGGUACCCGGAGAAGAAGCCCCGGCUAACUUCGUG
rnacentral:rRNA from 1 species